rnacentral:rRNA from 1 species
AGGAGUUUGGGUACCAUGGCUCAGAAUGAACGUUGGCGGCGUGGAUUAGGCAUGCAAGUCGAGCGAGAAGUUUACUUCGGUAAAUGGACAGCGGCGAAAGGGACAGUAAUGUGUAGGUACCUACCCUCUGAUCUGGGAUAGCUGCGGGAAACUGCAGGUAAUACCGGAUAAUGUCUUCGGACCAAAGGUGUGAUUCCGUCUGAGGAGGGGCCUGCAUCCUAUUAGCUUGUUGGUGAGGUAAUGGCUCACCAAGGCAACGAUGGGUAGCGGGUGUGAGAGCAUGACCCGCGUCAUUGGGACUGAGACACUGCCCAGACAUCUACGGAUGGCUGCAGUCGAGAAUCUUCGGCAAUGGGCGAAAGCCUGACCGAGCGACGCCGCGUGCGGGAUGAAGGCCCUCGGGUUGUAAACCGCUGUCGUUGGGGAGGAAAUGCAAAAGGGCUAUCCCUUUUGUUUGACCGAUCCAAGGAGGAAGUACGGGCUAAGUUCGUGCCAGCAGCCGCGGUAAGACGAACCGUACGAACGUUAUUCGGAAUUACUGGGCUUAAAGGGUGCGUAGGCUGCACGGAAAGUUGGGUGUGAAAGCCCUCAGCUCAACUGAGGAAUUGCAUCCAAAACUGCCGUGCUUGAGGGAGACAGAGGUGAGCGGAACUCAAGGUGGAAGCGGUGAAAUGCGUUGAUAUCUUGAGGAACACCGGUGGCGAAGGCGGCUCACUGGGUCUCUUUCUUGACGCUGAGCAC